rnacentral:misc_RNA from 1 species
GGGAUGCAUCAAGGCCACUUUCUCUAAAAUGUAUGGCAUACAAACCAGAGACAGGUACAUAAAUUGAAGCAAUAUUAAUAUGAUUAUCUGCUUUAAAAACAAGGAAAAGCGAAAUGAUCACAUAAUCCAGCAAUCAAAGCUGACAGCAAAAGUAGCAAGCAUGCAGUGUUCUAAGCAUUUCAAUUCGAAUCUCUGUUUCCAUAGAACUGAACAAUCAUUAACAAGUAUAGAAAUGCUGAACAGACACUCGUCUUAUAGUGAACCACGAAAAAAAAAAUU